CCCUAAGAGGCAAACGCUCCUCUGAGCCUGCUCUUACAUGCAGUCAUCACCUGAAGACAGCACCUCAUCUUGUAAAACCAAAAUCUUGCAGUAGGGCCUAGGAUAUGCAGCAACUUGUCCUGUGUGAAUUUCAUGCCUUUUUCAGACCCUGAUGGGGUCUCACUCAUUCUUUGCCAUAAGGGUAACGAGCAGCAUAUUAAAUUUGGGCAUCCAAGCCACUUUAUCAGAGAGAAAGGGGCAUGGGCACUCAGCAUGCAGCCUGUUCCUCCCCUCUUUCUCCAG